AUUGAACGCUGGCGGCAGGCUUAACACAUGCAAGUCGAGCGAGCGGCGGACGGGUGAGUAAUGUCUGGGAAACUGCCUGAUGGAGGGGGAUAACUACUGGAAACGGUAUCUAAAAACGCAUACCAUCAGAUUUGCCCAGAUGGGAUUAGAUAGUGGGGGGGGUAAGGGCUCACCUAGGUGACGAUCCCAAGCUGGUCUGAGAGGAUGACCAGCCACGUUGGAACUGAUACACGGUCCAGACUCCUACGGUAGGCAGCAGGGGGGAAUAUUGCACAAUGGGCUCAAGCCUGAUGCAGCCAUGCCGCGUGUAUGAAGAAGGCCUUCGGGUUGUAAAGUACUUUCAGCGAGGAGGCGUUACUCGCAGAGAAAGCACCGGCUAACUCCGUGCCAGCAGCCGCGGUAAUAC
rnacentral:rRNA from 1 species